AAACAAAGAUGAUAAUACACAAACAUCAUCCGCCAGGGGAUUACGAGCAAAGCUUAAAACCCAAAGGACUUGGCGGUGCCUCAAACCCACCUAGAGGAGCCUGUUCUAUAACCGAUAACCCCCGUUUAACCUCACCACUUCUAGUUUUACCAACCUAUAUACCGCCGUCCUCAGCUUGCCUUGUGAAAGACGGAUAGCAAGCCAAAUGGGUUAUACCCAGAAAGUCAGGUCGAGGUGUAGUUAAUGAAGUGGGAAGAGAUGGGCUACAUUUUCUAACCCAGAAUAUUACGAAAAGUAUUAUGAAAGAAAACACAACUGAAGGUGGAUUUAGCAGUAAAAAGAUAACAGAGAGUUCU
rnacentral:rRNA from 1 species